UUUUGUUGGACAUCAUCGUGUUCACCAGCAUUGCUUGGACCUGCUUCAUCGUCAUUUGAAGUUUGUCGUGGUCGUGUAAAAUACUCAGCUGGGAACCUUUCCUGUGAAGACUCGUACUCUCGCAAAAUAUCCAACUCAUCAAAGAAAUCUUCUUCUUCUUCUGGUUCUUCCAUCUUGUCAAACGAAUCCCACAACUUGUCGUAAUGAUAACACCAUGAAUCUCCAGGAUUCUGCGGCGGCAUUGUAUUACCUUGACAUUCAACAUUUGGAGCUUCAAUAAUCCGCUUCUCACUUGGAACGAAGACAUGUAGUAAAUGACUUGCAUAACCAACAAAUAUACCCUCAAUGCACUUCGGACCAAACUUUCCAAAAGAUUAG
rnacentral:lncRNA from 1 species